rnacentral:rRNA from 1 species
UGGGGAAUAUUGCACAAUGGGCGCAAGCCUGAUGCAGCCAUGCCGCGUGUAUGAAGAAGGCCUUCGGGUUGUAAAGUACUUUCAGCGAGGAGGAAGGCGUUGUGGUUAAUAACCGCAACGAUUGACGUUACUCGCAGAAGAAGCACCGGCUAACUCCGUGCCAGCAGCCGCGGUAAUACGGAGGGUGCAAGCGUUAAUCGGAAUUACUGGGCGUAAAGCGCACGCAGGCGGUCUGUCAAGUCGGAUGGGAAAUCCCCGGGCUAAACCUGGGAACUGCAUCCGAAACUGGCAGGCUAGAGUCUUGUAGAGGGGGGUAGAAUUCCAGGUGUAGCGGUGAAAUGCGUAGAGAUCUGGAGGAAUACCGGUGGCGAAGGCGGCCCCCUGGACAAAGACUGACGCUCAGGUGCGAAAGCGUGGGGAGCAAACA